AUUGAACGCUGGCGGCAGGCUUAACACAUGCAAGUCGAGCGGAGAUGAGGUGCUUGCACCUUAUCUUAGCGGCGGACGGGUGAGUAAUGCUUAGGAAUCUGCCUAUUAGUGGGGGACAACAUUCCGAAAGGAAUGCUAAUACCGCAUACGUCCUACGGGAGAAAGCAGGGGAUCACUUGUGACCUUGCGCUAAUAGAUGAGCCUAAGUCGGAUUAGCUAGUUGGUGGGGUAAAGGCCUACCAAGGCGACGAUCUGUAGCGGGUCUGGGAGGAGGGACGGCCACACUGGGAAGGGGACACGGCCCAGGCUCCUACGGGAGGCAGCAGUGGGGAAUAUUGGACAAUGGGGGGAACCCUGAUCCAGCCAGGCCGCGUGUGUGAAGAAGGCCUUAUGGUUGUAAAGCACUUUAAGCGAGGAGGAGGCUCUUUUGGUUAAUGCCCAAGAUGAGUGGACGUUACUCGCAGAAUAAGCACCGGCUAACUCUGUGCCAGCAGCCGCCGUAA
rnacentral:rRNA from 1 species